GAUGAACGCUGGCGGCGUGCUUAACACAUGCAAGUCGAACGAAGCAUUUGCGACAGACUUUUUCGGAAUGAAGUUGCUUAUGACUGAGUGGCGGACGGGUGAGUAACGCGUGGGUAACCUGCCUUGUACUGGGGGAUAGCAGCUGGAAACGGCUGGUAAUACCGCAUAAGCGCACAAUGUUGCAUGACAUGGUGUGAAAAACUCCGGUGGUAUAAGAUGGACCCGCGUCUGAUUAGCUAGUUGGUGAGAUAACAGCCCACCAAGGCGACGAUCAGUAGCCGACCUGAGAGGGUGACCGGCCACAUUGGGACUGAGACACGGCCCAGACUCCUACGGGAGGCAGCAGUGGGGAAUAUUGCACAAUGGAGGAAACUCUGAUGCAGCGACGCCGCGUGAGUGAAGAAGUAAUUCGUUAUGUAAAGCUCUAUCAGCAGGGAAGAUAGUGACGGUACCUGACUAAGAAGCUCCGGCUAAAUACGUG
rnacentral:rRNA from 1 species